GGACUACCGGGGUUUCUAAUCCUGUUUGCUCCCCUUGCUCUCGCGCCUCAGCGUCAGGAGAAAGCUAGAAAACCGCUUUCGCCACAGGUGUUCUUCCACAUAUCUACGCAUUUCACCGCUACACGUGGAAUUCCAUUUUCUCCGCCAUUCCUCAAGAUUUGCAGUUUCAAAUGCAGUGCCGAAGUUGAGCUUCGGAAUUUCACAUCUGACUUACAAACCCGCCUACGCGCCCUUUACGCCCAAUAAAUCCGAUUAAUGCUUGCACCCUCCGUAUUACCGCGGCUGCUGGCAC
rnacentral:rRNA from 1 species